AGAGCUCUGCCAUUCGAUCAUUGGAAAGGAUUUAGCGUUCGAUCAACAGCAAAGAUGAAUUCACGAGCUUUGGACGACCCAUAUUUCGUUGAUGAUCUCAUCUUUUGGUUUAGAUUUAGUUGGUUCAUUGGUGCGUUAAUUUUUUGUGUUUACUAUUGCUGUCGGAAACGUUCGGAUGAUGAUAUGCCAGCCAGGCGCAAUGUGAUAGCAGCCUCAACACAGUUUCCCAGUGCGACGACAACUCUCGAACACCCGUCUGGCGCAGCUGCUUAUCCGGUUGUUCCUUUGCCUUAUCCGACGAACCACUGCCAACAAAAUUCUGCCCAGUUUCUGUUACUGCCACCACCGUCAAUUCGCAACCAGAGUGAUGGUACUGAAGCCACGGUACCAGAAAACAUUGUGAAAGACCCAUCCUUAGAUCAUCCACCUAGUUACGAUGAGGUGAUGUUAAAGGCGACAAUCAGUGAAAACAAAUUGAACACACUAACUGGUCCAUUGUGCUAACGAUCGAACAGUGAUUUAUGAUUGACCCCCCCCCCCCCCCCCCCCCC